AGUAAGGUGACUGAGAGACAAGUGGUGGAUUGUAAACCCAUAAACAGAGGUUAAACUCCUCUUCUUACUA
rnacentral:tRNA from 1 species